rnacentral:rRNA from 1 species
AGCAGCCGCGGUAAUUCCAGCUCCAAUAGCGUAUAUUAAAGUUGUUGCAGUUAAAAAGCUCGUAGUUGAAUUUCGGGGUCAGUAGGCUGGUCGUGCCACGGGUAUGUACUGGUCUUACUGAUUCCUCCUUCCUGAUGAACCGUAAUGCCAUUAAUUUGGUGUUGCGGGGAAUCUGGACUGUUACUUUGAAAAAAUUAGAGUGUUUAAAGCAGGCUAACGCUUGAAUACAUUAGCAUGGAAUAAUGAAAUAGGACGAUCGAUCCUAUUUUGUUGGUUUCUAGGAUUGACGUAAUGAUUAAUAGGGAUAGUUGGGGGCAUUAGUAUUCAAUUGUCAGAGGUGAAAUUCUUGGAUUUAUUGAAGACUAACUACUGCGAAAGCAUUUGCCAAGGAUGUUUUCAUUAAUCAAGAACGAAAGUUAGGGGAUCGAAGACGAUCAGAUACCGUCGUAGUCUUAACCAUAAACUAUGCCGACUAGGGAUCGGAUGAUGUUAAUUUUUUAAUGACUCAUUCGGCGCCUUA